rnacentral:rRNA from 1 species
AGUGAACGCUGGCGGUAGGCCUAACACAUGCAAGUCGAACGGUAGCACAGUAAGAGCUUGCUCUUACGGGUGGCGAGUGGCGGACGGGUGAGGAAUACAUCGGAAUCUACUUUUUCGUGGGGGAUAACGUAGGGAAACUUACGCUAAUACCGCAUACGACCUACGGGUGAAAGCAGGGGAUCUUCGGACCUUGCGCGAUUGAAUGAGCCGAUGUCGGAUUAGCUAGUUGGCGGGGUAAAGGCCCACCAAGGCGACGAUCCGUAGCUGGUCUGAGAGGAUGAUCAGCCACACUGGAACUGAGACACGGUCCAGACUCCUACGGGAGGCAGCAGUGGGGAAUAUUGGACAAUGGGCGCAAGCCUGAUCCAGCCAUACCGCGUGGGUGAAGAAGGCCUUCGGGUUGUAAAGCCCUUUUGUUGGGAAAGAAAAGCAGCAGGUUAAUACCCCGCUGUUCUGACGGUACCCAAAGAAUAAGCACCGGCUAACUUCG